GACGAACGCUGGCGGCGUGCUUAACACAUGCAAGUCGAGCGGAAAGGCCACUUCGGUGGUACUCGAGCGGCGAACGGGUGAGUAACACGUGAGUAAUCUGCCCCUGGCUUCGGGAUAGCCACCGGAAACGGUGAUUAAUACCGGAUAUGACCACGUCUCGCAUGGGGUGUGGUGGAAAGUUUUUCGGCCAGGGAUGUGCUCGCGGCCUAUCAGCUUGAUGGUGAGGUAAUGGCUCACCAUGGCUUCGACGGGUAGCCGGCCUGAGAGGGUGACCGGUCACACUGGGACUGAGACACGGCCCAGACUCCUACGGGAGGCAGCAGUGGGGAAUAUUGGACAAUGGGCGGAAGCCUGAUCCAGCAACGCCGCGUGAGGGAUGACGGCCUUCGGGUUGUAAACCUCUUUCAGUACCGACGAAGCGCAAGUGACGGUAGGUACAGAAGAAGCACCGGCCAACUACGUGCCAGCAGCCGCGGUAACAC
rnacentral:rRNA from 1 species